UGGCCUUGAGCUGGCUCUUAUUUCAGAGGGAGGCCUUACUGCCUCAAGGAGCCAUGCAAAAUGCCAAAACCCCAUAGCUCUUGGAGUGUCCUCAAUUCUCUCUUCCCUGCUGAGGGGACCCACACUGUGUGACCCUGAGCAAGUCACCUCACCUCCCUAGGGUCCUGACCUGUAAGAUCUUUGCAGAUGUAGCUGGUCGAGAUGAGAUCAUACCGGAUCAAGAUGGGUCCUAAAUCCAUUGACUGGUGUCCUCAUCAGAGAUAGUCACACAUAAAAGAAAGAACACGAGGUGAAGACAGAGGAAGAAACUGGAGAGGUUCAUCUACGAGCCAAGGAAAGCCAAGGACUGCCAGCCAUCACCAGAAGCUAAAGAGACAAGGCAUGGAACAUUCUCUUGCAGAGCUCUGCUGACAGACCCUGCUGACACCUGGGUUUCACCUGGAUUUCACUUUUAGCUUCUGAAACAGUGACAGAAUAAAUAUGUUAUUUAUAUGUUAUUAUAUGUUAACCCAAUCUGGUUAGGUGAUUUCCUAUGGCAGCCCCCAAAAACUAAAACACUAGUCAAGAGGCCUUGGUGGCUGUUAAGCAUCUGCCUUCGGCUCAGGUCAUGAUCCCAGGGUCCUAGGAUCAAGCCCUGCAUCAGGCUCUCUACUCAGCGGGGGUCUACUUGUCCCUCUCCCAUUCCCCCUGCUUGUGCUCUGUCUCAAAUAAAACCUUAAAAAAUAAAAACAAAAAAGAGGGUUUUUUUGUUUUGACCUCUGGCCUUUUGUGAAGCUGAGAUCUGGAUCAAUUUCUACAGGGACAGAUACGAUAAUAAGUUUUACCCAACUUCCUUUGGGGCCCCCCUUCAAAAGACAUCCUCCUGUGACAGAAUAUAGAAUUUGCCCUAAGCGUGCCUGUCCCCAGCUUCAGACUCACAGGGAAGUAUCUACCAAAAUGUGCUCUCCUCCAAUGAUUGCAGCUCUGUCGCCAGACAUGCCAACCUUCCCACUGCUGUUUGGGGCCUGCUCACCAUUCUAAUUCCAGUGACUGCCACCUCCCCAAUCCCCUGGAGAUCCUUCAACUGCUCUGGUCCUUUCUUGCCUCCCUUGGCCACCAACUACUCAGCAGCCUGAAGGACCUUUGCAAGUUACAGAUCUAACUCUUGUCACUUUGAUCGAGAGCCUUCUGCAGCCUUCUGUGCUCAUGAGUCAAGUUUGAGCACUUCUGUCAGCCAUAGGACAUGGAUUCACCAUUGCAGAUGCAGCUCACAGCAGGCUCUCCCCAGUUCCCUCUCUCUGAGGAAUUAAGAUCCUGCCUCAUGUGUCUUUCCUCUCCCUUGGACACCAAGUGGACAGGGAGAGCAAAAGAGCAUCACAGCACCUGCUUUUGCAGGAGCAUGACAACAGUGUUCUGGAAGGUACACACACACUCACACACAAACCCUCCAAAAGACAAAAGUACUCUGCAAUUAUGUCUGGGGACAUGAACUGGGAUGAAGAAAAGAGUCAAGACUUGACAAAUCCAAUCUCGAUGGUUAGACCCAAUGUGCCAGCUACAGGGUUAAGAGCUGGGGGGUCUGAACACAGAACACAGCACAUAGCCACUUACUGGAAAAAAAAAAAAAAAGAAGUCAACUUUAAUUAUAACUGACCAAACUGCGUCCAGGAAUGUCUCCAAACUGAACAAAAGAAACACGAUAAAAUUCUCUAUUGAAGAAACCAAGUUUUUGCCAACCCCAGGCGUCUGAGGGUU